AAUGUUUUCCUUUUGUACUUUUGAAAGGGACGUUUUGCAUGCCCCUUUGCUACAUGAAUUCAUAUGGCUUUAAAUUAACUACGAUCCUUUUUAUUAUUGGUAAUUAAGGAAAUGAAACUAGACUUGUAAAAUUUGAGAAAGUUUUAGUCUUCAAUUAGACAUUGUAUUUUGUUGUAUUUAUUUGGUUGACUUUUACCAUUAUGCCCUGCUUUUUGCGCCUAAAAUUUCUGCUUUGAUUCUUGUCUUUGGUUGCUUUUGAGAAAAUGUGUUGUUUCAAGGUAGCUUAGAUUGUUUGAAAGUUGCUAGCUUUUCUUGCACAGGAAUCAAUAUCAAAAUGUACAAAGGAAAAUGAAUCUUGUCCUGGUGCUUUCUAAAGGAUAAUUCAACAUUUUUCCUUCAUAGUACAUAAUUUCCUCUUAAUACUACUAUAGCAAUAAAGCUAUUUUCAUUCCGUUGGGACUUAUAUAAUGUUAAAGAAACUGGGUUAAUGGAAAUAAUAAUAAUAAUAAUAAUAAUAAUAAUAAUAAUAAUGGAAUGGUGGAAGUUGCAAAGAAUAAUAAGAGAGGACACAAUAAUAGUAGUAAGCAAACUGUUCAUAGGAAAUCCAUUGAGACAUUUGGUCAAAGAACGUUACAGUACAGAGGUGUCACAAGGUUAGUCAAAUUUUUCACUUUCAUUUUCAUUUCAUUAUUAAUUUUAUCAACUAUUUAAAACAUACUUUUUAUUUUGCUUUUUUGGUUUUUAUUUUAUUUUCUGCCUUUUUAUUUAAAUAUAUAUAUUUUUUAAUAUUUUUUCCUUUUGAUUUUCUUCUAUUAGGCAUAGAUGGACCGGCAGAUAUGAAGCACAUUUGUGGGAUAAUAGUUGCAAAAAAGAAGGGCAAACUAGAAAAGGAAGACAAGUUUAGUUGGGUAAGUUCUUAACUAAAGACUUUUAUUUUCAACCAUCUUCUUGUGAUUGCUAAUAAGUGUUUUUUUCUUUUUAUUUUUCUUUUAUAUGAAUUGAUUAAAGGUGGCUAUCAUAUGGAAGAAAAAGCUGCAAGAGCUUAUGAUCUUACAACCCUUAAGUAUUGGGGACAUUCAAUACACAUAAACUUUCCGAACUUGUUAUGUUGGUUGUGCAAUUGGGAAUGUGAUAAGGAUACUGUUAGAGAGGGCAAGCAUAUUUUUGGUGUUGCUCACAUUUUUGCAUCAUUCAAUGACACUUUUAUUGUGAGUAAAUUAUGUUCGUAUUUUCUCCUUGUU